GCAGAAGUGGUCCUGCAACUUUAUCCGCCUCCAUCCAGUCUAUUAAUUGUUGCCGGGAAGCUAGAGUAAGUAGUUCGCCAGUUAAUAGUUUGCGCAACGUUGUUGCCAUUGCUACAGGCAUCGUGGUGUCACGCUCGUCGUUUGGUAUGGCUUCAUUCAGCUCCGGUUCCCAACGAUCAAGGCGAGUUACAUGAUCCCCCAUGUUGUGCAAAAAAGCGGUUAGCUCCUUCGGUCCUCCGAUCGUUGUCAGAAGUAAGUUGGCCGCAGUGUUAUCACUCAUGGUUAUGGCAGCACUGCAUAAUUCUCUUACUGUCAUGCCAUCCGUAAGAUGCUUUUCUGUGACUGGUGAGUACUCAACCAAGUCAUUCUGAGAAUAGUGUAUGCGGCGACCGAGUUGCUCUUGCCCGGCGUCAAUACGGGAUAAUACCGCGCCACAUAGCAGAACUUUAAAAGUGCUCAUCAUUGGAAAACGUUCUUCGGGGCGAAAACUCUCAAGGAUCUUACCGCUGUUGAGAUCCAGUUCGAUGUAACCCACUCGUGCACCCAACUGAUCUUCAGCAUCUUUUACUUUCACCAGCGUUUCUGGGUCCAUAACAGCAUCAACCACUUUGUACAAGAAAGCUGGGUCGGCGCGCCCACCCUUUGUCUGAGACCCUUGUCCCUGUUGUCCUGGACUAGAUCCAGGUGAUCCUGUGGCACCUUGCUCUGCACCGGCAUCCAGAGAUGCUGUGGGACCAUGUUGUGUGCCAGAAGCUUGUGUACUUGUGGAUGGCUGCUCGGGGUCUGUAGGGGGCUCUGUAGGGGGCUCUGGUAAGGGAAAAUAAGGCUUUGCCUUGACUAUAGUACCUUCUACGCUGCUGUGGUAUUUUUCACAGUAGGCCAAGACAACCCUUUUUAGUUUUUUGGCCUGUUUCUUGUCUUCAACAAAUGAAAGUAAAUAGUAUGUUACACACUGUUGUGUUGUGCCUGGUACCAAGGGUAAACAGCUAACUGGUGUUGAGAGUACAUGUUUGCUUUGGAUACACUUGUGAAGUUUAUUCAAAGUGUAGGGAUGUGUGCUACUAAACAUAACAGCUGACUUAAAAUGUGUUGGGGGGUGACCCUCGGGAUCAAAUAACCUGGGUGCUGUCACCUGCAGGUGUCUUCGCAUUCCCUGAUAUUUUUUAGGCAAUGGAUCAGAUGGAUUAUGCGGUUUUUGAUACCUGGAGUAUCUUUUUGGUGGAGGGGGACCGGGAUCGUCUGUCUCUCCUACAUCUAAACCUUCAACAUCAACAUCUGGUGAUGGUGGGGCUGGUGGGGGGGAAGGAGAUGGUGGCUCAUGUACUGGUGAUGAAGGAGGGACGGGGGAUGAGGGAAGUGUUGGUGAUGAAGGGGGCACUGGUGGUGAUGGGGGGUUUGGCGUUUGAGUUCCCUGGCUGGACUCCUCAUCACCUUGGCAUCCCGGUGGUGGAGGAGGGGCUGGUCUUUUUGGAGCGCGGCGUCUUUUAGGAGGCAUGGCUGCUGGUUUGUUGAAGCACCUACGUUUGCACCCUGAUCUGGUUUUGCCUGAGGUUGUGUUGCGUGUAGUCGGUGGGGAUGUGGGCAUUAUCUGAAAGAGAUAAAGUACACAGUCACAACUUUUAGCACAGGAAGGGUGUGGGUCAAGUGUUUAUGCUUUAAAUUCUGUAGGCAGGUGUGUCACAGUUCUCCUUAAAGGGGACCUUCUUCCUGUUUCUCUACUUCUGACUCUGCAAGAAAGACAGACUGAGUGAGUGUCCCCACACCGGAGCCACGAUGCUUGUCCUGCGGGACCUGGACCUGGAAGAUCUUCAGGCAUUCUUAGAAAACUCAUCAUUGUCCUAUGACGAUUAUUAUGACAAUGCUACCUGGAUUCCAGAUUUGGCGAGCCCCUGUACGGUGUCCCUCAAGUAUGGGGUACUGUUUGCACUGGCUCUGUUUAUGUUUGUUCUGUCUGUGCUUGGAAAUCUGACGGUAGUGUGUGUGUUUUGUGCAUAUAGGGCGGCAUGUAAGGGGGCAGAUGUUUUGAUGCUAGUAUUUUGUUUUGUGUGCAUGUUGGCCUCUUUGGCUCAUGUGCUAGAAAUAUCUCACCUCCUGUACACCAUGCCAGGAUCUAUGCUAUUGUGUGUAUUAUUCACCCUUUAUGUAAGCACCUUGGACUUUUGUAUUGUAUUUAUAUUGAUGAUAAUUUCUAUACAUAGGUGUUUGCUAGUUAUGACUCCAAAUAGGCUGUUUUUGAAUAGUAAAUGCUUUGGAGCGUG
rnacentral:lncRNA from 1 species